CAGUAAAACUAACAUUUUGGACAUUAAUUCUCAGGUAUGCUGCCAUUCAGUGUGGAGAAAGAAUCGGUGAUAAGUAAGCUGAUGAACCAGAAUAGCACUCUCUUCCUAUUCUGUUCCAGGAGCCAAGGAGAAGAGUUACACGGAGAAACGUGAGUGGUCUGAUGAUUACAGGAAUACCUCUUUCAAACCCAGAGUACUCACUUGUCAGUGCAGUCUGUGCAGCUACAUCCUAAAGUAAGUUGGGUAACUUAUGCCAUGGCUAAAGACAGUUGUGUCCCAUCUGUCUGGAGAACCAGAUCUCUGCACUGGCACGUGCUGCCAGCAGUGCCACACACAGCAAUAGCAGGCAGCGCUGGCUCCAAGCACCCAUGCAACCUUCUCUUUUCCCCAACACAUGGUGGCAGCCUGGCUUUUGCAGCCCCACUGCCAGUGCCCCAGCCAGCUAUUCUGGGGCUCGUCUGAGCACACACCCUGCAUGCCAUGGGACUCAGCUCUUAAACUGAGACAAAACCACCAGAUCAUUCUUAUCUCCACCUGCUGCAGCGACGACGGUUCUUUUACAAGGAAAUUAAAUGAUAAAGCCCAAAGCAAGAACAUAUGAACAUGCAAAUAAAUACAGAUUGGGAACUCCAGACCACAGGCAGGACACAUGCUGGAGUAGCGGAAAAGUAUGAGGAGGAAGGAGCAGCACAGAGAAGCUGACAUGAACCGACUGCAACCGCCCAUCCCCACCCCCCUGCGCUGCUCUGGGUGGGAAGGGAGGUAGAUGACUCAGGAAUGAAGGACUGAAGAGGAGCCUGGGAAGAAGGGAGAGAGGAUGGGGGGAACAUGUUGUUUUAACUUGCCUUUGUUUCUCACUACACAAAUCUAUUUGGCAGCAAAUUAAAUUAAUUUUCCCCAA